GACGAACGCUGGCGGCGUGCUUAAGACAUGCAAGUCGAACGGGGUCCAUCCUUCGGGAGAAGACCUAGUGGCGAACGGGUGAGUAACACGUGAGAAACCUGCCCCGAAGACAGGGAUAAGCGCGGGAAACUGCGUCUAAUACCUGAUGCCUUCUUUGCAACACAUGUUGCGUUGAAGAAAUGAUUUAUCGCUUCGGGAGGGUCUCGCGGCCUAUCAGCUUGUUGGUGGGGUAACGGCCUACCAAGGCGUCGACGGGUAGCUGGUCUGAGAGGAUGAUCAGCCACACUGGGACUGAGAUACGGCCCAGACUCCUACGGGAGGCAGCAGUUAGGAAUCUUGCGCAAUGGGCGAAAGCCUGACGCAGCAACGCCGCGUGAGGGAUGAAGGCUCUCGGGUUGUAAACCUCUUUCAGCAGGAACGAAAUUGACGGUACCUGCAGAAGAAGCUCCGGCCAACUACGUGCCAGCCGCCGCCGUAAUAC
rnacentral:rRNA from 1 species